CUCCCAUAACUUUCCCCCAACACUCAGUGACAUCCUGAUGACCCACUCGAGCAUAUAUGCCGGAAGCACGUACUCGUUACCUAGUAGCUGGAGCGACUGAUACUCAAUGGUAAUAGCACGGAAGAACUCGGUGUUCAGUAUUAUGCGGCCAGGCUUGUGGAAUGAUUAUGAAUAUUUCUCAACUCGAUCGCGCAACAAGUCCAUGACCA
rnacentral:lncRNA from 1 species